rnacentral:rRNA from 1 species
GAUGAACGCUGGCGGCGUGCUUAAUACAUGCAAGUCGAACGAAGCACCUUGGACAGAAUCCUUCGGGAGGAAGACCAUUGUGACUGAGUGGCGGACGGGUGAGUAACGCGUGGGUAACCUGCCUUGUACAGGGGGAUAACAGUUGGAAACGACUGCUAAUACCGCAUAAGCGCACAGUACCGCAUGGUACGGUGUGAAAAACUCCGGUGGUACAAGAUGGACCCGCGUCUGAUUAGCUUGUUGGUGAGGUAACGGCCCACCAAGGCGACGAUCAGUAGCCGACUUGAGAGAGUGAUCGGCCACAUUGGGACUGAGACACGGCCCAAACUCCUACGGGAGGCAGCAGUAGGGAAUAUUGCACAAUGGGGGAAACCCUGAUGCAGCGACGCCGCGUGAAGGAAGAAGUAUUUCGGUAUGUAAACUUCUAUCAGCAAGGAAGAAAAAUGACGGUACUUGACUAAGAAGCCCCGGCUAAAUACGUG